rnacentral:lncRNA from 1 species
CUCACUUCGAGGCGUUCUUCCACUACCGGUCCAAUGUUCCUAGAAGGCAAUGCAAUUUGUGGACAAGCCCAUGAAACCCAAAGGUGAAAAAGGGAAACAGGUUUACACAGACAGCCCUUCCUGCCACGUCUCCAGACAUUCCUGCUGGAAUCUAAUCACCUUUGUCUUUAACCAGGCUUCCUGCCCACAUCUUACCAGUUCUGUUCUAGCAGCAAAGUUUGCUUUACUUUCCUGAGGAUACGCACGUGCACCCUGGAUCUCAUCUCCACAUGCAGGGUGGUGGGUCCCUUCCAUUUCUAUUUCCUGGCUCAUCACCUGUCUUCAUGCUUGGGACUACCUUUCUGUUGAAGGCCCACCUAUGGCUUCCCAUGGACCAAUCAGCACGUACUUCCUCACUUCUGAAUCCAUAAAAAUCCCUGACUCAGCUAGACUCCAUGCUCUUUGGGACGACCUGACUGCAGAUAGGAGCCACCCACUUCAGGAUUCCUCUACUUUGUUUGAGAUGACCUGCCUGUGGAUAGGAGCUACCCAUUUCUGGUCUCCUCUACACUCUUCAGGACAACCUGUCCACACAUAGCAGCUACCCACAUCGGGACUUCUCUAUAUUCUUCAGGAAAACCUGCACAUGGAUUGGAGCUACCCACAUUGGGAGUCCUCUACAUUCUUCAGGAUGACCUGCCUGUGGAGAGGAGUUACCCAUUUCAAGUCUCUACACUCUUAGGGAUGACUGCCCACAGAUGGGAGCUAUCCACUUCAAGUCUCCUCUAUACUCUUCAGGACAACCUGCCUGUGGAUAGGAGCUACCCACUUCAGGAUGCCUCUAAACUCUCUGGAUGAUCUGCCUGUAGAUAGCAGCUACCCACUUCAAGACUUUUCUAAACUCUUCAGGACAACCCACCCAUAGAUUGGAGCUACCCAAAUUUGGACUCCACUACACUCUUUGGGAUGACCUGCCUGUGGAUAGGAGUUAGCCACUUUGAGUCUCUAUACUCUUAGGGGUGACCUGUCUACAGAUAGGAGCUACACACUUCAGGUCCCCUCUCUGCUGAGACCUGUUCUGUCACUCAGUAAAGCUCCUCCUCACAUUGCUCAACCUCCAGUUGUCCAUGUAGCUUCAUUCUUCCUGGACAUGGGACAAGAACUUGGGACCUACUGAACAACAGGAGCGAAAAGAGCUGUUACCCAUUCCUGGAUGGCUGGCUGAGCUGUGGGCAAUGACAAGCUCCUGGACUGUGGGAGUGAAGAGUGGCACCCCUUCUGGGGGCCCAGACCUCAGGAUUCCCUGAGCCAGAGCUGCUGUAACACUAUAGUCCUCACACCCUCCAACAGUGCCGGGUGGCUGCCCCACACGACAGGAAGCAGUAGCAGGGCCAGGUCAGCCCAGCGGCUGCAGGCUGGGGAGGCAUAGCAGGACUGAAGGAGCUGUAACACAAACAGACUGAAACACACAAACACUGGAAACACCUCCCUGCUCACCACGCUUCAGGUGGCAAAAAGGAGAGAAGAGCUGAAGCCCUUCUGGGAUCCCAGACCUUGGGGCUCCACAAGCCUGAGCUGUGACAUGCUGUAACACCCUCUCUGGGGUUCUGUGGUUUUUGGCAUCUUCAAGCUUUUGGGCACUACCAUGUUCCCUGGCGCCUUCAGUAGAAACUGUUUGCGAUACGCCUGGUCCAGUUGCAGCGUCACACAGAGCUGGCAUCUGUGCUGGUACCAGGAGCUGCCCACCCACUGGCACUGCGCAGUGGCUGGACCUGUGCUUGCUCGGUCUUACACCCCCUUGCUGCUCCAUGCCUGGCUCACCCUUGGCAGGUGUGGGAUCUGGGCUGGUAGCGAGAGCCAAGCACAGCCUGCCAGGCCGAGUGGGUGGAAUGAGCCCAGUGGGAGCAAACAAAACCAAAGCAGAGGGACCGCCAGCCAUCAUGGAGGUUUCCUGCUGGAGAAGUGACAUCCUAAGGACCCUGUGACAGCCAUAUCCUCGCAGCCUCACGUCCUCACUGCAUCUCAGGGGGAAGAUACCCACCUGGGCGUCAGUAACAGCUGCUUUCCACCUUGGGAGAGUUUGCAAGAGAAAGAGAAAGAGAAAGAACAAGAAAAAGAUAAUGAAAGCCAGAAAAAAUGAAAAAGACCCUUCCACAUUUCUUGCCUCAUGACCACUUCCACGCAGCCGUGUCUCUGGUUCUCUGGCCAUCCUCCCACAACCUGGAGAGUUUCCACUUCGAAGAUGUUUUUUCUCAUGUGCAGGCUGUUUACUAAAGGGCCACACAGCAUGUUACCUUCAAUCCGUAGACAUUUCUGGGAGUCAGCUGCGUGCACUGCAGUUGAAGAUGAGAACUAUUGAAUGCUUACCCAGUGCCAGGCCUGUGUCUCCACGCCUCUCGCCUGUCCCCCCUUAGCACCCUAUGAGGUCGACACUGUGGUCACCCUCCCUUGGCAGGUGCAGAGCAGAGGUUUGGCCUUGCAACAGAUGGACCAACAGAACACUAGGAAACACGAUUCAAGUAGCAUCUUGAAAUGUGAUCCUGCAUUGGGGGUCCCCUCUCUUCACUGCACCCGGAACUUCCUCCAAGAAACAGUGGUCUGUGUGGGCACAAAUGAGCUACAGCACGUAUAAGUCAAUGGGAAGAAAGGAAAUGCUCACUAUGCUAGAAGUGACAGUAGAAACUUCCAUUGUGUGUGACUGGAGAGGCACAAAUGAAGGGCAUCUCCCAAAGUGAGUGAGAAGAGUUCAGACUGAAUAUCUCAAAACCUAAGCUCAUGUAAGGGAACAGGCAGGGCAGCCCACUGGAUUGCUGUCUCUCCUAUGAAAAGGAAUCACUGGAGCUGGUGGCACAUGGGUG